UCCCGGUUGCUCCGGGCAGUCUCGUGUGAAAAAUUCAACACACGACGAGGGUUGCGCUCGUUGCGGGACUUAACCCAACACCUCACGGCACGAGCUGACGACAGCCAUGCAGCAUCUGUGACGCCGCCCCGAAGGGAAGCCGACUUUCACCGGCGGUCAGCGCCAUGUCAAGCCCUGGUAAGGUUCUUCGCGUAGCUUCGAAUUAAACCACAUACUCCACCGCUUGUGCGGGCCCCCGUCAAUUCCUUUGAGUUUCAGUCUUGCGGCCGUACUCCCCAGGCGGUCAACUUCACGCGUUAGCUUCGUUACCAAGGAAUUACUUCCCCGACAACCAGUUGACAUCGUUUAGGGCGUGGACUAC
rnacentral:misc_RNA from 1 species